UGGUGGGUUGCCUUGUCAGGUUGAUUCCGGUAACGAACGAGACCUCAGCCUGCUAAAUAGUCCGUCUUGGUUUUUCCAGGGCGCUGACUUCUUAGAGGGACCCUCGGCGACUAGCCGAUGGAAGUGUGAGGCGAUAACA
rnacentral:rRNA from 1 species